rfam:Myotis lucifugus cont2.27402, whole genome shotgun sequence.
GCGGUUCCCGGGUGAUGCACCCCAGAAUCGGGCACCCUCCUCUCUGGUUCUGGGUGUAUCACCCAAGAACCAGA